CUGGUGACUUUCUUGGAUGUGAAUCUGUCAUUUUAGUUUACUCCUGGGAAAAAAAUAAACCAUAGAAGAUUCUAUGUUGUGACCUAUAAAUAAGAUCCUAGUUAAAGUUAAAAAUUAAAAUAAGAUCAGUAAAAGGAGUAACACGUUAAAUUUAAUUAUUUUGUGGGUUCUAGUUUACUGAAUGGGUAGACGGAUUACGGAUAUGAAAUUUAUACCAAUGAAUUCUGUUUCACUUACUGAUAAUUGUACAAUAAUUUUUUAUUGGGGGCGGGCGUUACUUUUCAUGUAAUUGCAAUUUAAAAUAUGUCUUAUUUUUAAAAAUCGCCGCCAUUUUCCGCCAUUAUAUACCAUGAAACAACAAGAAACGACAGGAAUGACAACCGUUUUAUAAACGCAAGAAGGAGAAUCCUAACAGUGUUGCCAUAGUUAUAUAAAAUAUGUUUUCUUAUGAAAAUUACAAUUUUUCAAUUCUUAAAUAUGUCAUUUUACUUAUUCUGACGCAUUUUUAACACAAAAUGACUGCUUUAUUACAAGGGUCAGGUUAGUUCUGGUUAGGUUUCGUUACGUUAGGUUAGAUUACAUCAAGUUUAUUAAUAUUAUAGUGAUUUAUGAUUAUAUUUUAAUAAAUAAAUUCUGUGGGAUUCCCAGAAUACACUUUCAAGGUUGGAAUGAAAUUUUAUGUAUUUCAUGGUUAUGUACUGUCACUGAUUUCGGGAAACCAUGUUGCCAUGUGAAUGACAAAAGAUAAUUUCACAUGAAAACAUCGAUUUUUGUCCAUUUAAGCGUACCAUUGAUUUGGAAUAUUUAUGCAAACCUCUAAAUUUGGCAACUGUUUUUGAAAAAUUGGUAGAUGCAUGCAUUGACGCAUUUUUUAAACAGUUUAUUGUUAGUUUUUAGUUUGUUAGGUCGGUUGUUUGUGCUGCGCCCUGGAUUUGGGCGUUGUCUGUUGCAUCAUAUACAAAUUUGUGAAAGUGAAGUUAGUUUAUCGGGUUUGGACCGAAGGGUUAGGCCUUCCUCCUUUCAGACCGCCUGCGCCCAAUUGCAAUCUGCCCAGUUUAUCGUUAAAUAAAGGUGAAGUGAGACUAAAUGGUGUGUAGGUGUUACGAAAGUAAAUUUAAGUACAAUUAAGGUGUGGCUUUAAUACCUAUAUUCACAAAGAAAAGGCCUCUUUCGAAGCUAGUAAACUGCAGGCAGAGGAAAUAAAUAUGUUGGUGGCAACUUUUAUUACAUUUAAAGCCACGAAUUUGGCUUUGGACUCUCAAAUUGCAUCGAUCUAUAGCUGUUUUG
rnacentral:lncRNA from 1 species